UACGGAGGAUGCAAGCGUUAUCCGGAAUGAUUGGGCGUAAAGCGUCCGCAGGUGGCUGUGUAAGUCUGCUGUCAAAGAGCAAAGCUCAACUUUGUAAAGGCAGUGGAAACUACACGGCUAGAGUGCGUUCGGGGCAGAGGGAAUUCCUGGUGUAGCGGUGAAAUGCGUAGAGAUCAGGAAGAACACCGGUGGCGAAGGCGGCUACCUGGCCCACUCUUGACGCUGAGGCGCGAAAGCUAGGGGAGCAAACGGG
rnacentral:rRNA from 1 species